rnacentral:rRNA from 1 species
AUUGAACGCUGGCGGAAUGCUUUACACAUGCAAGUCGGGCGGCAGCGCGGGGGCAACCCUGGCGGCGAGCGGCGAACGGGUGAGUAAUACAUCGGAACGUGUCCUUGAGUGGGGGAUAGCUCGGCGAAAGCCGGAUUAAUACCGCAUAAGCUCUGAGGAGGAAAGCGGGGGACUGGUAACGGCCUCGCGCUGUUGGAGCGGCCGAUGUCGGAUUAGCUAGUUGGUGGGAAAGGCCCACCAAGGCGACGAUCCGUAGCUGGUCUGAGAGGAUGAUCAGCCACACUGGAACUGAGACACGGUCCAGACUCCUACGGGAGGCAGCAGU